CCCCGGGAACACCGGGAGCACCGGGAACACCGCGAAGCAGCCCCGGGAGCACCGUGAACACCGCGAAGUAGCCCCGGGAACACCGGGAGCACUGAGAACACCGUGAAGCAGCCCCGGAGCAGCGAGGGCGGCCCGGCCCAGCCCUGAGGGUGAGGCGCGGCCUGCGCGGGACGGGCCGUGAGGGGAGCGGAAGAAGCGCCCGCGUGAGGGGAGUUUUGAACCGAGGGUGUGUUUGGGAGAGAACAACAGCCUGAAAUUUGUUCCAUCCAGCCAUUCCAAAUGUGCCAUUCCCAGCCUGAAAUUCGUUCCUUUCAGGGAUUCCAAAUUCCCAGCAGCGACUCCGUGCCAGAGUUUGAUCCAUUGUUAAUAGCGAGGAGAGGAUGCUGUGAUGCUGCCGAGAUGCAGCGAGGAGCUCUGCUCCAGGAUUUAGCUCUGCCCAGAGCGCCGGGGAUGCUGCGGAAAGGUUGCCAGAGAGGCGGAUACCAGCCUGCAUCCAGCUUUUUGCUGCAUCCCUGCUGCCGAGCCAGAUAUGGAUCAUCCCUGGGAUUAUUCCUGCCUGUCCCCGCGCAGGGAGGGGACUCUGGAGGUGCUGCUGUGCCAGGGGGGUGUCGAUGGGCGCCGGACCCUGCGGGCGCUGUGGAUUUUUCAGUUCUGGAGCCGACGCUCCCCUCACGGUGAGGUCUCUGUGGCGCAAUGGACGAGCGCGCUGGACUUCUAAUCCAGAGGUUCCGGGUUCGAGUCCCGGCAGAGAUGAUCUCCAGGCAGGUGUCUCUUUUAUUUUAGGGCCAUUUCCCUCAGAGAUGAUCCCCAGGCAGGUGUCUCUUUAUUUUGCUGCCAUUUCCCUCAGAGAUCUUCUCCAGGCAGGUGUCUCUUUUAUUUUGGUUCCAUUCCCCUCAGAGAUCAUCUCCAGGCAGGUGUCCCUUUGCUUUUAGGUCCAUUCCCCUCAGAGAUGAUCCCCAGGCAGGUGUCCCUUUUAUUUUAGUGCCAUUCCCCUCUGAGAUGAUCUCCAGGCAGGUGUCUCUUUAUUUUAGGGCCUUUCCCCUCAGAGAUGGUCCCCAGGCAGGGCCAUUUCCCUCAGAGAUCUUCUCCAGGCAGGUGUCUCUUUUAUUUUGGUGCCAUUUCCCUCAGAGAUCAUCUCCAGGCAGGUGUCCCUUUUCUCUUAGUGCCAUUUCCCUCAGAAAUCAUCCCCAGGCAGGUGUCCCUUUGCUUUUAGGGCCAUUUCCCUCUGAGAUGAUCUCCAGGCAGGGCCAUUUCCCUCAGAGAUCAUCCCCAUGCAGGUGUCUCUUUUAUGUUGGUGCCAUUUCCCUCAGAGAUGAUCUCCAGGCAGGUGUCUCUUUAUUUUAGGGCCAUUCCCCUCAGAGAUGAUCUCCAGGCAGGUGUCUCUUUAUUUUAGGGCCAUUCCCCUCAGAGAUGAUCUCCAG